rnacentral:lncRNA from 1 species
UUAGAGUUUUUACUUGUUUCACCUUUAACAGAAUUUUCUGCAAAAGGCAGAGGCAGCUGACAUCUUCAAAAGUUUAAGCCUUUCUACAGCAAAACUGCAGCAGCUCUAUUACAUUGAAACAGAAGGAUGAUGGGAGGGAAAUUCCUUUGGGUUCUUUGCUUGCCUAUCAAGAGGACAUCAGUCAAAAAUGCCAGUCUGAGGAGUUUGAAUUUAAUCCUGUGAUUCAGUGAUCCCAAAGGCGCUGUGUCUUCUCAAAAGAUGCAAAAGAUGGUAUGCAUCUUGUUCCUCUUUCAGACACAGGUGAAAAUUGAAGUUUCUAGAAACUGGAGUUUCCUUCUCAUCUUGUUGGCAUCUUCCCCUGGGGAGAGGGGUAAUACCUCCACAGGAACCUAGAGGUGAUGGUGUCCAGUAGCCAUGAGAUACCUGCUGCCCAGAAUGGGUUUCUAAAGGCUAUUAAAAGGAACCAGAUCUCUUGGAGAAUGGCUGAUCCUAGGCUUGAUUCAAGGAAAGUUCAAGGUGGGGUCUUGCUCUGUUGCACAGGCUG